UCUGGUUCAGGACGAACGCUGCGGCGUGCCUAAUACAUGCAAGUCGAACGGCUUUUCUAUGGAAGCUUGCUUCCACUGAGAAGAUAGUGGCGAACGGGUGAGUAACACGUGGGUAACCUGCCCAUAAGAGGGGGAUAACAUCCGGAAACGGGUGCUAAUACCGCAUAGUUUCUUGAUCGCAUGAUCGGGAAAGGAAAGACGGCCUUUGUGCUGUCGCUUAUGGAUGGACCCGCGGCGUAUUAGUUAGUUGGUGAGGUAACGGCUCACCAAGACGAUGAUACGUAGCCGACCUGAGAGGUGAUCGGCCACAUUGGGACUGAGACACGGCCCAAACUCCUACGGGAGGCAGCAGUAGGGAAUCUUCCGCAAUGGACGAAAGUCUGACGGAGCAACGCCGCGUGAGUGAAAGAAGGUUUUCGGAUCGUAAAACUCUGUUGUCAGAGAAGAACAAGUUGGAGAGUAACUGCUCCAGCCUUGACGGUAUCUGACCAGAAAGCCACGGCUAACUACGUGCCAGCCGCCGC
rnacentral:rRNA from 1 species